UCGCAUCCAUCAUCGGAGGGAAAACAGGAUCCCUUUGCCUUGGAAACAUAUUCAGAUCCCAGGGACCAUGACGCAGACAUGCUUGAGAAUUGUUCAGCAUGACCUUAGGCUAUGAAGACUGACUGUUGGAUGGAUAUUCAUGUCAGUAAAAAAAGGUGAGCAGUGGAGAAAGUGGUGCAUCUGCUAUACCUGAAGAAACAAAAAGAAAAAAAAAAAAAUCAGAAUGGCCAUGGGGAAGAUCAGUUUAAAAAUGGGCAAGAUCAGAAGCAAAUUAUGGGCACCUUCUCCUACCCCCCUGCCAAGAGCAGAAGCAAAACAGGGCUUGGUGGGCAGCAGACUGAAGAGGCAGGAACGCUCAGAGGUGACCGGCUAGUCAUCUACUGAGCAUCAAAAGCAGCUGUCUGGCAGCAUGUGUGUGCCUGGUACCCUGGAGCCUAGAAGAGGGUGUAAGAUCUCCUGGAAUUGGAGUUACAGAUGGCUGUGAGCUGCUGCAGUGGUGCUGAAAAUGGAAUCAGGAGGAAGGUCAUUCUAAGGAGAGUCAUUGUGUGCCUCCCAUUUGAGACAACAGACACCAAGAAGAUGAAACUUGGCAGAAGGAAAGGCUGACACCUGGUGUCAGUCAGAGGAGCUUUUCUGCCAACUUGUCAGUACCUCCUUCGGGAGAGACUGAAACCAGGAUGAUGGCUCAGCGAUGGAAAGACCACACUGUGACCAGGACUGCUUAGUUGUGAAUACCUUCUGCUUUCUGUUUAAACUUCUGUCUCAGGUCUGAGCACCAAACAUUAACUUCGUGUCGGUGAGUCACUGGACCUCUUUGUUUUUCCUAGUGUAGUCACACUGAAUAAACUUCUUUUCUGUGCUUUUAA